rnacentral:rRNA from 1 species
GACGAACGCUGGCGGCGUGACUACUCCAUGCAAGUCGAUCGCAGCGGCGGAUGGGCGAGUGACGCGUGGGUAAACUGCACUUAAGUCUGGGAUACCAUUUGGAAACAGAUGCUAAUACCGGAUACUACAGGUUGGACCUGCGAUGCAUUAGCUAGUUGGUAAGGUAACGGCUUACCAAGGCGAUGAUGCAGAUGCGAGGUGAGAGACUGAUCGGCCACAUUGGGACUGAGACACGGCCCAAACUCCUACGGGAGGCAGCAGUAGGGAAUCGUCCACAAUGGACGAAAGUCUGAUGGAGCAACGCCGCGGGAUUGAAGAAGGUUUUCUGAUCGUAAAGCUCUGUUGUUGGGGAAGCGGUAAUCAACCAGAAAGUCACGGCUAACUACGUGCCAGCAGCCGCGGUAAGAC